rnacentral:pre_miRNA from 1 species
ACCACCUGGGGAUCUUGUUAGAAGGCAGACUUUGGUUUGGUAGAUUAGGAUGGGGCCUGAGAGUCUUCAUUUAUAACGAGUUCCCAGGUGAUGCCAA